CGAGGACGGCCUCGCCAGGCCUUGCCGAGUGUUGCUCAUCCGUCGCAGCCCGUGUUUUCCGCCUCAGUUUCCGUGCCAGUUAACCGCUGUCGUUGUCGAGCGUUGUUCAUAUAUAUAUAUAUAUUCAUCGAGUUUCCGUCGGCACUCGUAAGCACUCUAUAGAGAAGAAAGGGGCAGGUUCGCGCCGAGAGACGGGGACUCAUCGUCAGCCCCCAACACCGUGGGACUCGCAUCGCGCGUGCAGUUUGUGUUUAUUUACCAAAUCAGAGGCUGGUGCAACGGGUAUCGUCAUCGUCGUUGUCCUCGACGACGGCGUUGAAUUUCCGUUCGGGCCCCGCGAGGUUCCACCGGGAAAAAGCGGAGGGCGGCAAAUCGACGGGGAACGAUUCACGGUUCAAUUGACCCUGACAACGAGAGUGCGCAAAAUUCUCGAGAGGUUGAGGUUGAGGAGGUCCGGGGCUCGAGGACGAGUCGGCCGGGGUCGCGAAGCCGAGGGAAAGGAGGAAGAUUCAUAUCGCUUGGGAGGAUGUAGCUCCGUUGGGAAACCCCCGACUUAUCCCACGGAUCUCACCUGGCGAUACGAGAGCACGUACUCUCAGGAAUGUUUGCUGCGACAACAUGAGAUCGCUCUGGAUCGCUCGCCAGUUUCGCUACGGUCCACGGCUCCUUGACCAUCGCUUCUUCUAACUCGCUUACUUGUCAGGGACGACGUAUCUUCAUCACAUUGAUUAGAUCUGGCUGCAUGUGAUACGCUGAUGUCGUGUGUUACAGGAGGGCGAUGGUGCUCCUCCCUUAGCGUGGAUAUGGUAACGAUGAGCUCCGACAAGCUGGGGUGCCGGCGAAAGCCGGCGGAGAACAACACCGCGAAGGGAGGCACAGAGCAGCCAGGUGGUCGAGGACGCAGUGACGUCACUCACAGGAAACAACAUUCCUCCGAUCAGUCCGCCAACGCCUCCGGAGAAACGGCUCCAGCCACCGGGGGGGUUCAAAAAUCCACGACACCAUCCUGGCCCGUUGACACGCCCAACUACCUCGUCUAUCAGAAAAUGGAAUCAAUUGUUGAGAAGAUGCUGGACGAAGCAACAGGAGUGCCUGUCAAAACUGUCAAAACUUUCAUGACGAAAAUUCCAUCUGUUUUUACUGGAACUGACCUCAUUGCUUGGAUGAUGAAGAAUAUGGAGAUCGAGGAUCAAGAAGCACUUCACGUCGCUCACUUAAUGGCAGCGCAUGGCUAUUUCUUUCCGAUCGACGACCACUGCCUUACUGUAAAAAAUGACAACACCUUCUAUAGGUUUCAAACUCCGUACUUUUGGCCGUCAAAUUGUUGGGAGCCGGAAAACACUGAUUACGCCGUUUAUCUGUGCAAACGAACAAUGCAGAACAAAACAAGAUUAGAGUUGGCUGAUUACGAAGCGGAGAAUUUGGCCAGGCUGCAAAAAAUAUUUUCCAGGAAGUGGGAAUUCAUAUUUAUGCAAGCAGAAGCCCAAAGUAAGGUUGACAAGAAACGGGACAAACUUGAACGCAAGGUUUUGGAUAGUCAAGAGCGAGCAUUUUGGGAUGUUCACAGGCCUAUGCCUGGAUGUGUAAAUACAACAGAAUCUGAUAUUAAAAAGGCAUGCCGCAGUAACAAACCCGCAGCAAAGCCCAGCAAACACCUACAGCUAGGUGUUGGAGGAGGAAGAAUAUCGCCGAGUCACACAGAUUCUGAUCUCAGCUCUCCAACCGAUACGUUGCAGAAUGAGAUCACGAUGUUGAAGCAGAGAUUGGAUCGUCGAAAUAUUAAAGUCUCAAAAGUCGCCGAAGCACUGAUCAAUUAUUUUGAGCAAUACGCGGAGUAUGAUCCAUUCUUCACCCAACCAGAGUUCACCAAUCCAUGGGUUUCGGAUAAUCCGGAGAUGUGGGAACAGGAAAAAAUAGCAAAAGAAAUAUCUGCUAGACGGGUGAAACGAUGGGCUUUCAGUCUACAAGAAUUACUUCAAGAUCCAAUUGGCAGAGAACAGUUCGUGCGUUUUUUGGAUAAGGAAUUUAGUGGAGAAAAUUUGAAAUUUUGGGAAGCUGCACAGGAAUUGAAAACCUUACCUCAGCGUGACGUUCAAGCUAGAGUUCAAGAAAUUUGGGAUGAGUAUUUAGGUACUGAUGCCAGCUGUCCGAUUAACGUUGAUUCAAGAUCGUAUGAUUCCACUAAGAAGAACUUGGAACAGUCAGACAGAUGGAGUUUCGACAUCGCUGCUGCUCACGUCUAUCACCUGAUGAAAAGUGAUAGUUAUUCGAGAUAUCUACGCUCGGAAAUGUACAAAGAUUUUCUCAACGGUUCCAAGAAAAAAUUCAUUGGUGUUACUUUCACCUUCUGUUUCAGACAUCAGUAAAAGGUAUUCGUUCCAUUGUGUCGUUCACCGCUCGCAAGGAUGCUACAGGAUCUUAACUGAUACAUAUAGGCUUUGAAUUUGUUAUACUACACCUGCUGGGUUGAAAAAUUUGCAGGAGGGUGCUGCUGCAGUGGAAUUUCAAUGAUAUUCUUGAUAAUGCAAUUCUGAUAUUUUCCUUAUAGGGUGUCGGGAAAGGGGGGGAGGGGGGGAGGGGGAUCAUUAUUGCCGAAUGAUGUGAUAUAAUUAUAAAACGGUGUUAUUGUUAUAUGAAUAAAUGAAGUUGAUGCCAGGAAGAUUGAAAUAGAAAGGAAUAAGAAAAUUACGAACCUGACAGAAUAUUCACUGAUAUAGUAAUUUCGCCAAUAUGUACACUCAUUCGCGUAUCCAGUAUACACAUAGAUUUGUACACACACUGGAGGUCUACACAACAUUGAGGAAACCUAGCCCACUGCCGACAAUUGCAAAUAUAUAUUUUUUGAGGUGUAUGAAUUCUAUGGAAAAAUAUUUUAUUGUGAGUUCAACUGUAUUUUAAUUAAUUAUUCAUUAUCGUUAAGAGGAGUUGGAAACUCGACCAGGACAUUUGAUAGAUCGAUUGAUGUUCUUACUGUUCACAGAAGAACACAGCUACGUGAAUAUCGAAUUGCAAAAGUCAAAUUGUAUAAAUAUAUAGAAAUGUACAACCCAUGAGAAAAUCAAAUUAUGCUCACCAGAGAGAGAAGCUGUUUUUCAAAUUUAGAGUGCAAACAUUAAGAAACAAUCUUUCUAAUUUCUAAGCAUUUAUAUAUAAAUGUGGAUGUAUAUAAUUCGACAUACAAGAAAAAAAGAAAUUUUGAUGACUCAACUUAAAUACUGCAGCAAAACAAGAAAGACUUUAAGAAACAUAUAAUAUUAAACAAUGAACUACAAAUUUUUUCGCGAUAUUAUUUAACAAUAAGUCACAAAGCGCUACGCUGGACAGUGGCUGCGAACAGUCGACUGGAAAAAAUAUACUGAUCACUUUUAAUCCUCGGUAAUAUAGCCGGGUACUUAAAGUUGUUGUGAUUAUAGUUGCUGACUAGACAAAUUGAAUGUAUGUAUGAUAGGCUGUAGAGUGUAUAAACAUUUACGUGUAUAAUCAAAGAAUGCUCAUGUGGCCGAUACACAUUAGAACAUUUGUUAUAUUAAAUAUAA
rnacentral:misc_RNA from 1 species